rnacentral:rRNA from 1 species
AAUGAACGCUGGCGGUAGGCCUAACACAUGCAAGUCGAACGGCAGCACAGUAAGAGCUUGCUCUUACGGGUGGCGAGUGGCGGACGGGUGAGGAAUACAUCGGAAUCUACUUUUUCGUGGGGGAUAACGUAGGGAAACUUACGCUAAUACCGCAUACUACCUACGGGUGAAAGCAGGGGAUCUUCGGACCUUGCGCGAUUGAAUUAGCCGAUGUCGGAUUAGCUAGUUGGCGGGGUAAAGGCCCACCAAGGCGACGAUCCGUAGCUGGUCUGAGAGGAUGAUCAGCCACACUGGAACUGAGACACGGUCCAGACUCCUACGGGAGGCAGCAGUGGGGAAUAUUGGACAAAGGGCGAAAGCCUGAUCCAGCCAUACCGCGUGGGUGAAGAAGGCCUUCGGGUUGUAAAGCCCUUUUGUUGGGAAAGAAAAGCAGCAGGUUAAUACCCCGCUGUUCUGACGGUACCCAAAGAAUAAGCACCGGCUAACUUCGUG